CCUACUCCCCAUACUCAUUUUCUCCGCCGCAUACCUCUGUUUUGGUUUGUAAAGUUAGUAACUUUUUUCUGGUUUUUGACUAUAGAAAUUUGUGAAUUCUAGUUGUAGAGAAGUGUGAGUAUAUAGAGUGUUGGUGUGUGUGUUUUGAAUCUUUAAAAAAAUUGAAGAAAAGGGAUUAGUAAGUAAGAUGGCUUAUAUAAUGCAGGAUUUUGAAGGUGAAUGAGCUCUACACUUCAUUGGACUUUUUUUAUAAGCCAUCUUACUAGUUCUUCUUCUUCUUCUCUUCUAUUUUGGGAUCAUAGGAGUUUUAAGGAAUGCUUUCAUGAUGUUAUUACUCUUAAGGACACUCUGGUUUAUGAUGAACUCCUUAUCUUUGGACAAGAAGUGGCAUCAUAACAGUUUUUAAGUAAUGUCUCAGACUCUCAGGCUGCUUUUUUAUCUUGUGAUAAAUGGCGCGAUUUGAAUUUUCAUGUUAUACUUCGAUGCUCAGUUUAUACGUUCCUGCUUGUGGCUUUUAAAACAAUUCAUGGGGCUUAUGAGGAUUCUGCCUGCCUGUUGGGGUUGUUUCAGAUUAUAACUUAGGUUUCAUUCUAUGCUGCUGAUAACUGAUUUAGAAAUGAAGUCGAACUAUAAAGUUACUUACUAUGUAUACAUUUGGUUGUAUCCUGUAAGUUGCGGAAACCUUCUUUCUUAUCCGUUGUCAAAGAGUAUGCUCACUGUGAAAAACAAAGCUUCUUGACACACACCUGCUAUCGUAUGUAUGUCGUUUUUGCUUUGUUAAUCGACGGUGGAAGUUUUGGCUUCUUUAAUAGACAGUUGAAGAAAUGAUAGCUCUAUCCUCUAUGUAUCUAUCCUGAAUGCUUUUCUUAUGAAAUCAUCAUAUUGUUUGUCAUUGGGCAUUAGACUAGGUUGCUUCCCAUGCGACGGAUAUGCGAUAGUAUGGAUUGAAAUCUUGAAGCUUUCGUUAUGAUUUUCAGUCUAAUCUAGUUGACUAUAAUGCAAGAGUUAUGACCAUUUAUAGCACAACAAUUCAUGUUUCGUAAUGAAUGUUUCUGUUAAGGGUUCUGUUUAAACUACAGUUCAUACCAGAUUAUUUUCCGACUGGCGUGUAAGUCAAAGAGCACUUGCAAUAUCCCAUUCUCUAAUCUCUAGUCAAGUAAACACUGAUGAACCAUUUUCAUGACUUUCAAAUGCAGUGUUAAACCUACUCAACAAGAACAAUGAGGAAAAGUUUUUAGAGAUCUGAUGACACCACCAUCUCUAGUAGAAGACUGUGUAAGCUACUUGUUAUACCCUUUCUACGUGCCAUUGUUUGUUCUCUUUCUAAUCAUGGAAGAGCCAAGUAAUAAUAUAUAGAAGCUUCCAAGAACUUAGGGAAAGCUGCGGCGGCCAGGAUUCCUGUAUUAAAAAAACUGUGUAAGUGCACUUCUCUCUGUCUUUGUGCAGAACCAGAAUCAGCUUCUGUGUUAUUGAUGGGUUAGGUUACCAGAUGCUUUGGGUAUUUGAUUCGCAUCUAAGUCUAAUUAACCACACUUUUGAUUAACAAAAAAGUGAAAAAAUAAAGCUUCAUCUUUCUUUGGUUUGUUUA